GUCAGGCUUGGUGGCGCACACCUGCAAUCCCAGUGGCUCCGGGGCUGAGGCAGGAGGAUCAUGAGUUUAGAGUCAGCCUCGGCAACUUAGUAAGGCCCUAAACAACUCAGUGAGACCCUGUCUCUA
rnacentral:sRNA from 1 species